UGCGACCCCAGGUCAGGCGGGACUACCCGCUGAAUUUAAGCAUAUCAAUAAGCGGAGGAGAAGAAACUUACAAGGAUUCCCCUAGUAACGGCGAGCGAACCGGGAACAGCCCAGCU
rnacentral:rRNA from 1 species